CUGCACUGAUCGUAACCUGGUUCAAUCUUCAGUAUGAACUUUGGGUUCCAUUCCAGUGCUACAGUGAGCCCCAGUGAGGCAGGGGAGCAGUGCCCCUUUGUGCUCGCUCCCUGUUCACUCUCUGGGAACACUG
ensembl:snoRNA small nucleolar RNA, H/ACA box 54